AGUGAACGCUGGCGGUAGGCCUAACACAUGCAAGUCGAACGGCAGCACAGUAAGAGCUUGCUCUUACGGGUGGCGAGUGGCGGACGGGUGAGGAAUACAUCGGAAUCUACUUUUUCGUGGGGGAUAACGUAGGGAAACUUACGAUAAUACCGCAUACGACCUACGGGUGAAAGCAGGGGAUCUUCGGACCUUGCGCGAUUGAAUGAGCCGAUGUCGGAUUAGCUAGUUGGCGGGGUAAAGGCCCACCAAGGCGACGAUCCGUAGCUGGUCUGAGAGGAUGAUCGGCCACACUGGAACUGAGACACGGUCCAGACUCCUACGGGAGGCAGCAGUGGGGAAUAUUGGACAAUGGGCGCAAGCCUGAUCCAGCCAUACCGCGUGGGUGAAGAAGGCCUUCGGGUUGUAAAGCCCUUUUGUUGGGAAAGAAAAGCAGCAGGUUAAUACCUCGCUGUUCUGACGGUACCCAAAGAAUAAGCACCGGCUAACUUCGUG
rnacentral:rRNA from 1 species